AAAGAAUUAGUUAUAAUUAUAACAUUAAUAUGUCAAAUUAAAAUUAUUACAACUAUGUAAUAUUCUUUU
rnacentral:tRNA from 1 species